rnacentral:rRNA from 1 species
UCGUCACACUAUCAUUAACUGAAUCCAUAGGUUAAUGAGGCGAACCGGGGGAACUGAAACAUCUAAGUACCCCGAGGAAAAGAAAUCAACCGAGAUUCCCCCAGUAGCGGCGAGCGAACGGGGAGGAGCCCAGAGCCUGAAUCAGCAUGUGUGUUAGUGGAAGCGUCUGGAAAGGCGCGCGAUACAGGGUGACAGCCCCGUACACAAAAGCGCAUGUGCUGUGAGCUCGAUGAGUAGGGCGGGACACGUGGUAUCCUGUCUGAAUAUGGGGGGACCAUCCUCCAAGGCUAAAUACUCCUGACUGACCGAUAGUGAACCAGUACCGUGAGGGAAAGGCGAAAAGAACCCCGGCGAGGGGAGUGAAAAAGAACCUGAAACCGUGUACGUACAAGCAGUGGGAGCACCCUUUGGGUGUGACUGCGUACCUUUUGUAUAAUGGGUCAGCGACUUAUAUUCUGUAGCAAGGUUAACCGAAUAGGGGAGCCGGAGGGAAACCGA